AUCGAACAGUGGCAGAAGCCAGGAGUCUCCAUUUAUAAAGCAGCUAAGAUAGCAGAGGGUCCAGGCACUCAAACAGCCCCUAGGACCUCCAGGAUGCAGCCUCUGGGACCUCCAGGAUACAGGGCCCUGGGAGAACCAAGUGGUGGAAGACUUCCAUCUUAUCCUGCCUCAGGGCCUCAUGGAGAAGACACCAGAAGCUGGAACCUUAAGCCUCCACGGCCAACCAGUCAAGAAGUCACACCCCGGAAUGUUGCUCAGGAUCGACUGCGCUGGUCACGGGCCCCAGGAUACAGAAGCCAGGGUGUGGUAAGUAACUGCUUCUUGCUUUCACCAGAACUUCCCAAAACAUUCAUCCCAAAGUUGUUUCAGUUAUUUAGUAGAAGCCUCUAGAGAAACAACAUUGAGCUUACAAUAUAAUCCAUUAAUAGGGCUCCUUACCAUGUUCAGAUAUAAGAACAUGUCGCUAAAUAUAUGCACAGGCAAAAUCAACUGGUGCUAAUAUCUCCAAUUCAACAGGUGCUAAUGUGAAAAUAAUGAUGUCUACAAAUUAAACAGCUGGUGUUGUGCCUGCUUUUGUUCUUCCUUAAUGUGAAUAUAAACAGAUUUGUGCCACGUAUAGAUUCACAUCUAAUCAGAUGAGUUCUAUGUGAAACCGUCCUUUUUGAGCAUCUAUAAACAUUCAUUCACAAUCUCGUAUUACAAUAACUCAUCCACUUCACCUUUCCUAAUUCUCAUUUGCUAUUUUUAUCAUCUAAAUCUAUCCUGAAAAUGAUGGCACAGAUACAGUGGAAAAUUCAGCAUGUGUGGAUGCAAAUUUAGCUGAAUUAAUAGUGACCAGUAGUUCUAAUAUGCAGUUCCUUUAAUUUGCUCUUGCCAAGGAAGGAUUGCAUAAAGAUAUGGAAUACAAUUUUUUUUUCAAUGCCAUUCGCCAUAUUUGUAUUGCUUGUCUACUAUAGGCAAUAUUGUGUUGCUUUCUGUCUCUACUAACAUUGUAUCUAAUGAUUCAUCACUAGGGACAGUGGAAGGGAUAGUUAAUUUAGCCCUUAACUGGAUUUAAUUGAGAAAUUAAUGGAGAACUACAGUCUUAACUGAGAAAAUUAAUACAAGGAAUUCUUUCUCAUAAGGCAUCUGAGAAAUGAAACCCUGCUGUUGACUCGGGUCUUCUGUCACUGAGCACUUUCUAUCUCACACAAGGCAGUAUGAGAUUGUUAGCUAUCCUAAGAAUCUGAUGUGUCUUCCCAUUUGAGAAGGAAAAAAAUAUAAUAUCAUGUAUGGAUUGACCAGUUGUUUCUUCCAACUGACUGAAAUAAUCAAGUGUUCUGGAAUCAUAUAUAUCAUCUUAAUUAUGCAAGCAAAGCAGGCAGCAUGGUCAAACCUGUAGACUUAGAAAACAAUUUAAAUACCUGAUAAAUUUCAUAUCCAAAAGAAAUAAAUAUGCCUUAGUAUAACAAUGGAAUAAUAGGAAUGUAAGUUAUGAAAAUUUUACAAUAAAUGUCAAAAUGAGGAUUAGUUAAGUACAAUAUAGAUAGCCAUAAAAGGAAAUACUAAACAUAUUCACCUUAAUUAUUAUAACAGAGAUGACAUAGAAAGAUAGUUGUGCAAUAUUUAAGUUAAAAAGCAGAUUACACUACCAUGUUUCAAUAUGACUCAAUAUUUCUUUAAAAUAUAUCUGUGGCAUGUUUACACAUGUUAUCUAAAAUCUUAGAAGAGGUCAUUAUAUUUCUGUCAUUCAUGUUUUCUUUUCUUUUUAAUCAUUUUAUUUUCUAAUAUUUCUUCACUAAUUACGUAUUGCUAUAUAUAAAAAGAAUAAUGCAAUACAUAGUAGUUUUUUAUAUAUGUAUAUGUGUGUAUAUAUAUACAUAUACAUAUAUAUAUAUAUAUAUAUAUAUAUAUAUAUAUAUUUGAGAUAGGGCCUUGCUCUGUCUCCUAGGCAGAGUGCCGUGGCAUCAUCUUAGCUCACUGCAACCCUGAACUCCUGGGCUCCAGUGACCAUCCUGCCUCAGCCUCCCAAGUAGCUGGGACUAUAAGCACACACCACCACGCCCAGCCAACUGUUCUAAUUUUUGUAGAGAUGUAUUCUCCCCCUUGCUCAGGUUGGUUUGAACUCCUGACCUCAAGUGAUCCUCUUGCCUCAGCCUCCUAAAGUGCUGAAAUUACAACCAUGAGCCACCAUACCCGUCAAUAGUUUUAUAUUUUUAAUGAGGUACAUUUCAUGGGACAUGAUUGCAGAAAAGUCUAAAAUUUUUGACAAAGCCAAA
ensembl:lincRNA